rnacentral:rRNA from 1 species
AUGGAGUCGCUUGCCUCGCAAGCGAAGCCGGCUGCCGUGCUCUGGCUCGCCGGCUUCCUCCAGGCCGCGCGUCUGCACCGCGUCGUCUCCUUCUGCGUCAGCUUGCUAACCUUGAAAUCAGUGGUCAUUCCAACUCUUCUAUGGAUACUGCCCGAGCAAUGCGAUCAAUCAUGGGGACAACAUCUAUGUGAUCACACAACAGCUGUUGCCUUGUAUUCGUUCUUACGUUCGGGGCUUGUCGAGAUUUUCUAUGUAUUUUGGUUUUAUCCCCUCUACAUCUUCAGCUUUAUAAUAAGUACACUUUGGUAUGGUGACAUUGCUAAGCAUGCUUUGGCUGUUGUGAAAAGUAAGAAGCUGGAUGCAAGUCAAGCAUCUGACUCUGACCCUCACAGCACAUCUGUAUCAGCAGAUAGGCCUGAAGGAUUUGAUGGGGUUGCGAUUGGUGUUGGAGAGCAGGUCUAUUCGAUACUUCUUUUGACUAUUUUCUUUGCUGAGGUUACAGUGAUUGGUUACAUACCUUACCUUGGUAAGGCAAUGAACUUCAUGUUACUGUCUUUGAUGUAUGCCUACUACUGCUUCGAGUACAAGUGGAACUUCUUUGCAGUGAGCCUGAACCACCGGCUUGAUUUCUUUGAGUCAAAUUGGGCUUUCUUUGCCGGAUUUGGUAGUCCAUGUGUACUUCCGAUUUUCUUCUUCUCUCCUCUUACAAGUUAUGGUGUGAUGGCAAUACUAUACCCACUGUUUGUCAUGACAGCUGCUGGUACACAAGAAGAGCAAACCAUUGAUGAACUGAAAUCUUUGCAUGGAGGGAAACUGAAUAGAAUACCCUUGUUCUUUGUCGCGAAGCGACUAACGACGCAAGCGCUGCAGUUGUUCCCAGAGGCACAAAAGGAGCAAUGAGUGGUCCACAUAAUCACAUGAACUCAGAGGUGCAUAGUUCUCAUGUUGAAGCUGCAUCUGAGAGGUGCAUAGUUCACGAGAAAGCGUGGCUGCUCAUGUGUGCCACGCCCCAAUGUAAAUAGUCUGUACCAUUGCCGCUGUACAUAUACAUAUAUUGGGCCAAUAAAAAAGAAACUAUGGUUGUCCACGAGAUACAUGCUGCAAUUGAAGAAGGAAAUAUACAAACAUACUGUCUACAAUGUUGAUC